GGAGAUGAUCUGCGUUUCAUUCAAUUAAGUCGAUGAUGAAAUCCUUGGCCAAUGUGUACUCAUAAGUCGAAAAGGAGUUUUCGAUUUAUAUUGACUUAAUAGUGGAAUGAAAGAUAUGAUCGAUGAUCGAGAUUGACACAAUUCCAUAUCUCGUAAUUGAUCGGAUCGUAUUGACGAAGGGAUAAUAGUUCCAUGAUAAACGAACGAUUUUGGUUUUGUCAUACCACGUGACAUUUCCCGUCACAUGUAUUGCCCUGACACAUUGCUAGAUAUCAAUCAGGGACGGCGAAUGUGAAUUGACGAUAAAUUAAAAUGGUGUAUUAAUUUAUCGAUUUUGAUUAGAUCAAAAUAAUAUUUCACGACGUUAGGCAUCGUGGUCGGGAACCUAAUGGGUCGCACACAAAAGAGAAUUGGAAGACUGCAAAUUGUUAAUUGAUUAAUUUAACAAUCGUUGGAUAAAUU
rnacentral:lncRNA from 1 species